GGCUGGAUGGCCGAGUGGUUAUGGCGUGCAAGUGGCCCCUUUUUCCAGCUUUUCAAAAAUUAUACUAACAGUUCACCCACAGGUGACUCAAGUUGACGAUUUUCGUUCCUCCUUGGAAUCUGAAAACAGAAUCCAAACUUGUCUUUCUCAUGGAGAAAUCCGCGUGGGUUCGAGUCCCACUCCAGUCA